rnacentral:lncRNA from 1 species
CAGGGAUACGUGAAAAUGAAGCAAAUGAGGAAAGACCCAUUCACAUUCCUCCAAAAGGUCUGUGGCUCACUGGAAUCAUGUUACUGGCUCCUGGUAGUCCCUGACUUUACCUGUUUGUUCCAGGAACUUGCUUUAUGGCCAUUUGUUCUAAUGAUCAGUUUGGACAACCAACCUUUAUUCCUCCACCUCAGACAAUAUUCAACAUCCUGUAAUCAU